GUCCCUACGGGGGGCAGCAGUGGGGAAUAUUGCACAAUGGGGGAAACCCUGAUGCAGCAACGCCGCGUGAGUGAAGAAGUCAUUCGUGAUGUAAAGCUCUAUCAGCAGGGAAGAAAAUGACGGUACCUGAGUAAGAAGCCCCGGCUAACUACGUGCCAGCAGCCGCGGUAAUACGUAGGGGGCAAGCGUUAUCCGGAAUUACUGGGUGUAAAGGGAGAGUAGGCGGCAAGGUAAGCGAUAUGUGAAAGCCUUAGGCUUAACCAAAGGAUUGCAUAACGAACUAUCUAGCUAGAGUACAGGAGAGG
rnacentral:rRNA from 1 species